AGUGAACGCUGGCGGUAGGCCUAACACAUGCAAGUCGAACGGCAGCACAGUAAGAGCUUGCUCUUACGGGUGGCGAGUGGCGGACGGGUGAGGAAUACAUCGGAAUCUACUUUUUCGUGGGGGAUAACGUAGGGAAACUUACGCUAAUACCGCAUACGGCCUACGGGUGAAAGCAGGGGAUCUUCGGACCUUGCGCGAUUGAAUGAGCCGAUGUCGGAUUAGCUAGUUGGCGGGGUAAAGGCCCACCAAGGCGACGAUCCGUAGCUGGUCUGAGAGGAUGAUCAGCCACACUGGAACUGAGACACGGUCCAGACUCCUACGGGAGGCAGCAGUGGGGAAUAUUGGACAAUGGGCGCAAGCCUGAUCCAACCAUACCGCGUGGGUGAAGAAGGCCUUCGGGUUGUAAAGCCCUUUUGUUGGGAAAGAAAAGCAGCAGGUUAAUACCCCGCUGUUCUGACGGUACCCAAAGAAUAAGCACCGGCUAACUUCGUG
rnacentral:rRNA from 1 species